UGAUAACCUAUGCUCUUUCAA
rnacentral:siRNA from 1 species